AAAAUAUUCUAUAUACAGAGAUGGGAAAAGUCAGCGUUUACAUCUGGGGGUAUUAAUCAGCCCAUUAAAGACAUAAAGACUAGCCCAAAAGAGCAGAGGUAUAUAAUGUGCAUCUGAGGCACCUGCGUCAGCUGCACUUCUGAUACUGCUAUUGUAGACAUGAAAACACAAAGCAUUAUCUACGCAUUUUUCUCUUCCUGAACAGCUUGUUACUUAUAAGCAGAAGGAGCUGAAUCAGAACAAAGAGCUGAGGCCCUACACAAAAUGCUAAACUGACAUCUAUUUUUUUCUCUUGAAAAUGUAGAGCAAAUGCAAUAAAAGUGCCAAAGAUGGAA